rnacentral:rRNA from 1 species
UACGAAGGGGGCUAGCGUUGUUCGGAUUUACUGGGCGUAAAGCGCACGUAGGCGGAUCGUUAAGUUAGGGGUGAAAUCCUGGAGCUCAACUCCAGAACUGCCUCUAAUACUGGCGAUCUAGAGUCCGGAAGAGGUGAGUGGAACUCCUAGUGUAGAGGUGGAAUUCGUAGAUAUUAGGAAGAACACCAGUGGCGAAGGCGGCUCACUGGUCCGGUACUGACGCUGAGGUGCGAAGGCGUGGGGAGCAAACAGG